AUACUCUUCAGAGAAGUGGGGAAAAAGAUGAGAAUGAUCCCAAGCCCACAAGCUCUGAUGUCUCAGAAUUUCAUGAUCUUCAACAACAUCACAUGACUUAUAAAGCAAUUACAGUGCAAACCAGGAUACCAGAUGAUGUGCAUUUAAAGAAGUCAAGAAAUGCAAUGAAGCGAGUUGGUCUGAAGACAAAGAAUGUUCAGCUGGCCAAAACUCCCAGAUACCAUGGUAAGCUUGUGUUUUAACUUAUCUAAGGAACUUAGCACAAUCAGCUUUAUAAUUUUAUUUGCAGAUUUUGAAUGUCUUAUGUCUUUUCUUGAAAGUAGUCAAGAGUCCACUUAUUCAGAAAGCUCUGUGUGUCAAAACAUCUGGUGAAUAUGAAACACUUUUUCUCUCAAAUUGAAUCUGGUUAAGCUAAUUUGAUCAUUCUAAUUCACAUUGUUCAGGUGACUGUCUGGAUGAUAACAAUGAAAGCCCUGAUGAGUUAUUUAAACUCAAGCCAGCCCAACCCAGUAUUCUUAGGUGAGACAAUAGAUAUUCCCGUUAACACAUGCAAACACAUCACAAGGUACCUUAUAAGAGAAUUUUGUGUCAUGACUCUCACAGAUACUCUUCAGGAAAAUGUGGCAAUGCAUGAGGAUGAUCAUCCCAAAAGCUCUGCUUCUUCAGGGAAGGAACCAAAGGAAACAAAAUGCAAAGUCACCAUGGAGAAAUUGUUUUAUCUGAAUACUAAGAUACUCCAACAAAUUAAAAUGCUGGAACAGAGACAAGCUGUCAUCAUGAAUGACUUGGCAAAAGUUAAGCCUGUUCUCAUGAAGCGGGCAGAAGAAGAUGCCCAUGAGGAACUUUUUAAACAACAACAGUGCUCCAGCUUUGAAACGUUUGAAGCCUUCUGUCAGAGGCUUGAAGAAGACAAAAAUUAUCAAGAGCUUUAUGUUAGUACUACUAUAUAAAUUUAGCGUUUAUUUUUACAACAAAGCCACAGUUUUUUUUUUGCAGCAGAUACCAUGUAAAAUAAAUGUUGAAGCCUGGUAUAUUUUAAUCAUGACAAUAUUAUGUAUGUUUUUGUCAGGUACACUAUCUCAUCCAUACUCACGGCACCUCCAAUAUAGGUGAGAUGGUGAAAGAGGCUUUAAUAAGCAUAGUGUCAGACAAUGUUCUCUGUCUGUAUAACAGAACGGGGAAAGAUGGGAAGAAGGUGUUGCCACCUGUGCUCCUGACAUGUUUGAAAAGUAAGUGUUUAAGUUUUGGUUUGUGAAGCUGGAUGCUGCUAUAGAAAUUGUAAUGUUAACACCUUGCUCUUUGUGUUUUUAGAAUGUGUCAGGUCUUUUCACAAACAAAAUGAAAUAAAGGUGAAGAAGCUAAAAGUAACCACCAGAACAACACCAGACGCGGAAUGUAUUCGCCAAGUAGAAUUUUUUUGUCCAACGCCAAAACCAGGCUGAAAAGGAAACCAAAUAAAGGAAAAAGCUGACUUUUUGUUUGAUUGUUUUUAUUGAUGGAAAUAAGGAAUGUGGGUGUAAAAGUUUGAGUUAACUGAAUCAUUUUAGAUAACAGUGAACUAACACAAUUAUUGCAUAGUGGUGUUAUAUGGUGAUCUCACAGUAUGAGCACACAGUGACCACAGUAUGAGCACACAGUGAUCACAGUAUGAGCACACAGUGAGUGUGAUGUGACCUCAUAUUUCCACCACAGUAUGAGUGCACUGUGAUUGUGCAGUCACCUCAUGCUGUGAACAAAGUAUGAGCACACAGUGAGAGCUCUUUGUGGUUACACUUUUAGUUCACUGUGACACUCACAUUAUGACCGCACCAUGAGAAUAUUGUGAGCUCAUAGUGACAUCAUUGUGAGAUCAAAUUGUUGACUGGGCAAUUACAGUUGUUUUUAUUAUUGUACAUUAUUCUCCUCAAAUGCUCUCGAAGUUAGAAAAGUGUAGUAGUCUAUACCAAUACCUCAUGUAACUUUAGAGACGGUCCCUAUAUUUGCGAAUAUCGAACAUCCAACGUCAAGCCAACUUUAUGCCCGCUUUUUACUUUUUUUUUUUUUUACUUUCUUCUGUUUUCUUUCCUCUGCAACGGAUGGUUGAUGUCUUUUAACCAGGCAUAUAUGUCCAUCCAUCAAUUAUGAACAUUCAGCCGCAAACAUGAGGUGCGAGCGUUUACAAGUGUGGUCGGGGGGAAUGACAAGGUUUUUUUUUUUUUUUUUUUUUUGAGCACUGCCCCCCAGGGAUUUGCUGCCCUACACAAACUGUGUACUCUGCAUAUAGAGAGCGGUGGUACUGCCUAAAAUGUAAUGUUUCUGUUAAUAUUGGGGGCUGAAAUUCUUCAAGAUUACAUCUUCCUUGGGGAGUCCCUCAAGGUUCGAUUCUUGCUCAAAUUCUUUUCUCCCUUUAUAUGUUACCGUUAGGAGCAAUUUUUCACAAAUAUAAAGUGUCAUUCCAUUGCAACGCUGAUGAUACGCAGAUUUAUUUGCCUGUGAGUGAGUUCAAACUCAAAUUAAAAUUCAAACUCACUUGACACUUUAUUAGCAUGCUUACACAAUGUUAAAGAGGGGGUGAAAAGCUAAUUUUCACUCAAUCUCCUGUUAAUCUUGAGUACGUAUAGAGUAGUACUGCAUCCUCCAUAUCUCCAAAAAGUCUUUAGUUAUAUUAUAUUUAUUAGAGAAAGAUAGUCUGUACUGAUUUUUUCCGGAAAAAAACACGAGCGGCUGGAGGCGUGACGUGUGGGUGGAGCUAAAGAAUCACGAGCACGACUAGGAUUUUGCAUUGAGAGCAUUUGGAAGCUGUGACAUUACCAUCAUCCAAAACAAACCAUGGCUAACAGUAAGAUUCAGCCGUAUAUUUUUGAUCCAGAAUCAGAUCUCGAGGCUGAAAUUGAACAAGAGCAGCAGCAGCAACGACUACAGCAGGACGUCUCUAUGUAGUAUAUAUUGAAACUAUAUAUAUUUGCUUAGCGGUUUUGGAAAGUGACUAAGUUCCACAUUAUGUCGUUUUUUUUUUUUUUUUUAAAGGGGGGGUGAAAUGCUCGUUUUCACUCAAUAUCCUGUUAAUCUUGAGUACCUAUAGAGUAGUACUGCAUCCUUCAUAACACCAAAAAGUCUUUAGUUUUAUUAUAUUUAUAAGAGAAAGAUAGUCUGUACCGAUUUUUCCCGGAAAAACACGAGCGCCUGGAGGCGUCACGUGUGGGCGGAGCUAAAGAACAAGCACGAAUUAUGUCGAUUGCAAGUGUCACAGGUAGCAGAAAGUGCAAGUAGCGAUUGCAACUGACAUUGUAAUUUAGUUUAUUUUUUUCUUGUCUUCGCCACCUGGCUACUGUUGUAAAAUGUUGGGAAAUUCGAACAAAAAGUUAAAAAAAAAAUCAAUAAAAUAAAGAAUAAAGACUGCAAGUGAUGUCACUAGCGCAAGUGCAAGUGUCUGAGAGUGCAAGUGCAAGUCUGCAGCCAGACCCUCUUGCAACUCCGUUGAUGCUCUGUAAAAAUAAACUCCAUCCACUGGUCCCUUAAUGCUGUUUUUUUUUUUGGUAAUCUGUACAGGGUUGUCUUGCCCUGGCAACCGAAAACACACUUUGGUGACAUUUCGCUCUCUCACACUGGUCAGUGAAUGUCUCUGCUCUGGUCUAUGGGCACGCACGCGCUCUUCUGGGAGAAGUGCCCUUAGGACCCAUAUAAGGAAAUUCUGCACCAUCUAACGUCACACGGACCCAUACUCGAAAAAAACUUUCCGAAACUUGUGACAAACCGGAAGGAGUAUUUUUGGAACAAAAAUACUCCUUCAAACGUACAACUUAAUUUUUGAAACUUUGUCCAUGUUUAGCAUGGGAAUCCAACUCUUUAACAGUGUAAAAAUCUCAGUAUGCAUGAAAUAGCAUUUCACCCCCCUUUAAGGAUUGGAUGGCUGCAAUUUUUUUAAAGGUUAAUGAAAAUAAAACUGAUGUUAUUGUGUUUGGCCCUAGAAAACAUGAGGUGCUGCCGUGCUUGAAAGCAAUUUUUUUGACUGGUUUUGUUAAAUCUAAUGUAAAAAAAAAAAAAAGGAUUUGUUCUGGAUAGUGAUUUAAAGUUGGACAGAGAAAUUAACAUUGUGGUGAGAUCUUGUUUUUUUUUUUUUUUUUAUCUAUGUCUGCUAGUUAAGACUAAACCAUUUCUAUCUAGUUCAGAUUUUGAGAGAGCAAUUCCGUCCAUUGUCUUUUCACGAAUGGAUUAUUGUAAUUCACUUUACUAUGGAGUUGACGUUCGAG
ensembl:lncRNA